ACUUGUACCGGCUGCCGUAUCGUGUGUUUUAGUUGUGGAUAAAAUAAAAAUUAAAUUGUAAAAGAAAAUAAUGAAUGAAAAUUUCGUGUUAGAAUAUAAUAGUGUAAUAAAUAACGGAAGUAUUGCCGUAAUUUAAAUACUUCCGUUUAAUAAUACUUAUAUAAAUAUUGUAUAAGUACGUACGUAAGUACGUAUACGUAUUUGUAAUAAAUUACGGGAACAUAAGUAUAAAAUAUGCAUAAAUUUUUAUAAAAUGUUUUAAUAAUUGUAAUUUAUUAUCAUUUAAUGUAAAAUUAUAUAUACAAAAAAAAAUUAAAGAGAAAAAAUAAAUUAGUAAGAAAAGAAAGUGAAAUAAAAAAUAUUUUUAUAAAUAAGUAAUUAAAUCUGAGCGUAUCAGAAAGGGAAAGAAAAUAAUAAAUAAUAAUAUUAAUAAUAAUAAUAAAUAACGAAGAGAAAAGAAUAUAAGUAAUAAUUAUCAAUAAAAUAAGUAAUUAUGUAAUAUAUAUUAAAAAAAAAAGAAAGUAAAAAGUAAGAAAGAAAAAGAGAGAGAGAGCAAAGCUGAAUAAUAAUAGAAAAAAAAUUUUAAAUAUAAAAUUAAAUUUGUUGUAUAUUGGUUUAUUGUAAUUGUAAAAGAAUAAUUAAUCAAGAUAAUACUAAUAAUAUAGAGAAAAAUAAUAAUUAUAAUACAAAAAAUUUUAAUUAAAAUAAUUAAAAAAAGUUGAAUGUAUUUACUAUUAAUAGUAAUUUUUUAAAUAUAGAAAUUAAUUCAAUAAGAGCUUGAAAGUUUUCAUUACAAAUCAUUUACCUUAAAAUUAAAAAAAAAAAACAAAUCACUUGUAUAACACUUUGGAUAAAAUAUAAAUUUUAUUAAAUAUAUAAGAAUAAAAAAUUUAUAAAAUAUUUAUGGAGUA